GACGAACGCUGGCGGCGUGCCUAAUACAUGCAAGUAGAACGCUGAGGAGAGGAGCUUGCUCUUCUUGGAUGAGUUGCGAACGGGUGAGUAACGCGUAGGUAACCUGCCUUGUAGCGGGGGAUAACUAUUGGAAACGAUAGCUAAUACCGCAUAACAAUGGAUGACACAUGUCAUUUAUUUGAAAGGGGCAAUUGCUCCACUACAAGAUGGACCUGCGUUGUAUUAGCUAGUAGGUGAGGUAAUGGCUCACCUAGGCGACGAUACAUAGCCGACCUGAGAGGGUGAUCGGCCACACUGGGACUGAGACACGGCCCAGACUCCUACGGGAGGCAGCAGUAGGGAAGCUUCGGCAAUGGGGGCAACCCUGACCGAGCAACGCCGCGUGAGUGAAGAAGGUUUUCGGAUCGUAAAGCUCUGUUGUAAGUCAAGAACGGGUGUGAGAGUGGAAAGUUCACACUGUGACGGUAGCUUACCAGAAAGGGACGGCUAACUACGUG
rnacentral:rRNA from 1 species